CGGUAAUACGGAGGGUGCAAGCGUUACUCGGAAUCACUGGGCGUAAAGCGCGCGCAGGCGGUCUUUUAAGUUGGAUGUGAAAGCCUAUGGCUCAACCAUAGAACUGCAUCCAAAACUAUUAGACUAGAGUCUGGGAGGGGAAGAUGGAAUUAGUUGUGUAGGGGUAAAAUCCGUAGAGAUAACUAGGAAUACCAAAAGCGAAGGCGAUCUUCUGGAACAGUACUGACGCUGAGGCGCGAAAGCGUGGGGAGCAAACAGGAUUAGAUACCCUGGUAGUCCACGCCCUAAACGAUGAAUGUUAGUCGUCGGAGGCCUAGUGUCUUCGGUGAUGCAGCUAACGCAUUAAACAUUCCGCCUGGGGAGUACGGUCGCAAGAUUAAAACUCAAAGGAAUAGACGGGGACCCGCACAAGUGGUGGAGCAUGUGGUUUAAUUCGAAGAUACGCGAAGAACCUUACCUAGCCUUGACAUAUUUUAGAACACUUUAGAGAUAGAGUGGUGCCUUCGGGAGCUAAUAUACAGGUGCUGCACGGCUGUCGUCAGCUCGUGUCGUGAGAUGUUGGGUUAAGUCCCGCAACGAGCGCAACCCUCGUCACUAGUUACUAACGGUUCGGCCGAGGACUCUAGUGAGACUGCCUUCGUAAGGAGGAGGAAGGUGAGGACGACGUCAAGUCAUCAUGGCCCUUACGGCUAGGGCAACACACGUGCUACAAUGGUUAGGACAAUGAGACGCGAUACCGCGAGGUGGAGCAAAUCUAUAAACCUAAUCUCAGUUCGGAUUGUAGUCUGCAACUCGACUACAUGAAGCUGGAAUUACUAGUAAUCGUAGAUCAGCUAUGCUACGGUGAAUACGUUCCCGGG
rnacentral:rRNA from 1 species